AUCCAGCUGACGAGUCCCAAAUAGGAUGAAAAGCGCAUCGUGGAU
rfam:Schistosoma haematobium scaffold32_15, whole genome shotgun sequence.